AUUGAACGCUGGCGGCAUGCCUUACACAUGCAAGUCGAACGGCAGCACGGGAGCAAUCCUGGUGGCGAGUGGCGAACGGGUGAGUAAAGUAUCGGAACGUGCCCAGUCGUGGGGGAUAACGUAGCGAAAGUUACGCUAAUACCGCAUACGAUCUAUGGAUGAAAGCGGGGGAUCGCAAGACCUCGCGCGAUUGGAGCGGCCGAUAUCAGAUUAGGUAGUUGGUGGGGUAAAGGCUCACCAAGCCGACGAUCUGUAGAUGGUCUGAGAGGACGACCGGCCACGCUGGGACUGGGCCACGGCCCAGACUCCGACGGGAGGCAGCAGUGGGGAAUUUUGGACAAUGGGCGAAAGCCUGAUCCAGCCAUGCCGCGUGCAGGAUGAGGGCCUUCGGGUUGUAAACUGCUUUUGUACGGAACGAAAAGGUUUGGCCUAAUAAGCUGAGCUCAUGACGGUACCGUAAGAAUAAGCACCGGCUAACUACGUGCCAGCAGCCGCCGUAA
rnacentral:rRNA from 1 species